CGGGGUGUGGCUCAGCUUGGCUAGAGCGCCUGGUUUGGGACCAGGAGGGCGCAGGUUCGAAUCCUGUCACCCCGACUA
rnacentral:tRNA from 1 species